UAAGCUAGGAACAAAUUAUGGGACGCGUCACACGGACGCGGCUGACGACCGCGACUGAUAAGUGUGUAGUCUUAAAACAUCCAGCGCGCCAGAUGACGUGCGGACGUCCGUGCUCAAGGCCGCGUCCACGGCUUAAGUCCGAUAGUUUGCACAAUUCAUUAUCUAGAUCGCGGCAGUUGGACGGCGUCCGUCGGACGCGUCCCCUAAUUUGUUCCUAGCUUUAAACCAUGUUUUAUUCUUACACAUGCUAACUUACCACAUGGCCCUGAUAAGCUUUACGACAUUUCACAAGCCAAACAAAUUGAUCUUGUUACAAUUUCACACUUCAGUUGCGUUUAGGCCACCUUUACGAGUGUGCAGUAAAAAACUAAUUUUGGCUCAAUUAUGGCUGGUGGCUAUGUUAUGAUGGCUCUUUUUUAUCUCAAGAAAUCAAUGUCUCUAUUAAAGGCUUAGAGAAAGUCUUAUCAUCCUGAGAAAUAAUUCAAUAAGUUGCGUUGUUAGGUUGUUACUAAACCCGUUGGUGACAUUGGAUAAAGAAAGAUUUCAAGGAACAAGAUCAAUGAUACUACCUGGUAUUAGCAACGUUUGACAUGAAAAUAUAAAGAAAACAAUCGCUAGUUUGCGUAAUGUAAAUUGUAAAGGUUCAGUCACCAAACAUGAUAAAUAAAAUAACAGUAAUAAAUACGACUGUAAGAAUUUAGAGCACCGAAAAUAUUUUGAAGUGAAUAUGAGGAGCUCUAAUUUCGUAAUAAGUAUUGUCU
rnacentral:lncRNA from 1 species